GACGAACGCUGGCGGCGCGCCUAACACAUGCAAGUCGAACGGAGCUUAAAGAGCUUGCUUUUUAAGCUUAGUGGCGAACGGGUGAGUAACGCGUGAGUAACCUGCCCUGGAGUGGGGGACAACAGUUGGAAACGACUGCUAAUACCGCAUAAGCCCACGGAUCCGCAUGGAUCUGCGGGAAAAGGAUUUAUUCGCUUCAGGAUGGACUCGCGUCCAAUUAGCUAGUUGGUGAGGUAACGGCCCACCAAGGCGACGAUUGGUAGCCGGACUGAGAGGUUGAACGGCCACAUUGGGACUGAGACACGGCCCAGACUCCUACGGGAGGCAGCAGUGGGGGAUAUUGCACAAUGGGGGAAACCCUGAUGCAGCGACGCCGCGUGGAGGAAGAAGGUUUUCGGAUUGUAAACUCCUGUCGUUAGGGACGAUAAUGACGGUACCUAACAAGAAAGCACCGGCUAACUACGUGCCAGCCGCCGCCGUAA
rnacentral:rRNA from 1 species